GUCGCUCACCUUGGUAUAUGUGCAUAUUACACAAAGGACACAGAUGGAUUCAUGACAAAAUUGUGUUUUGCUGAUAGUGAUGUGUUUGUAGAUCUUACUUUACUGAACAUUCUUGGUACUUACAAUUUUCUCUAUCUAUAAUAAACUUGGACCUUUAGACACAGUGAAAAAUAUUUUGUAAAAAUUUACAAAAAUUUACCAAAUUAGUGAAAAUUGUUAAAAAUUGAAUAAAAUGGGCAACAACUCCUUAAGGGGUCAACUGACGAUUUUGGUCAUGUUGACUUAUUUCUAGAUCUUACUUAGCUGAACAUUAUUGCUGUUUACAGUUUAUCUCUAUCUAUAACAAUAUUCAAGAUAAUAACCAAAAACAGCAAAAUUUCCUUAAAAUUACUAAUUCAGGGGCAGCAACCCAACAACAGGUUAUCCGAUUUAUCUGAAAAUUUCAGGACAGAUAGAUCUUGACCUGUUACACAAUUUUACCCCUUGUCAGAUUUGCUCUAAAUGCUUUGGUUUUUGAGUUAUAAGCCCAAAACUGCAUUUUACCCCUAUGUUCUAUUUUUAGCCAUGGCGGCCAUCUUGGAUAGUUGGCCGGGUCACCGGACACAUUUUUUGAACAAGAUACCCCAAUGAUGAUUUUGGCCAAGUUUGGUGUAAUUUGGCCAAGUAGUU
rnacentral:lncRNA from 1 species